rnacentral:rRNA from 1 species
UUGAACGCUGGCGGAAUGCUUUACACAUGCAAGUCGAGCGGCAGCGCGGGGCAACCUGGCGGCGAGCGGCGAACGGGUGAGUAAUAUAUCGGAACGUACCCUGUCGUGGGGGAUAACACAUCGAAAGAUGUGCUAAUACCGCAUACGACCUGAGGGUGAAAGCGGGGGAUCGCAAGACCUCGCGCGAUAGGAGCGGCCGAUAUCGGAUUAGCUAGUUGGUGGGGUAAAGGCCUACCAAGGCGACGAUCCGUAGCGGGUCUGAGAGGAUGAUCCGCCACACUGGGACGGAGACACGGCCCAGACUCCUACGGGAGGCAGCAGUGGGGAAUUUUGGACAAUGGGGGCAACCCUGAUCCAGCCAUGCCGCGUGAGUGAAGAAGGCCUUCGGGUUGUAAAGCUCUUUCAGCAGGAACGAAACGGUGGCUACUAAUACUAGCUACUAAUGACGGUACCUGAAGAAGAAGCACCGGCUAACUACGU